UUGGGCAACCUUUUCCAUGCAGGGUGAUCUCUAGAAGUGUCUACUCUUCAUCGAGAACACAGGCCUCUGCAUGGAGUUUUAACUGUUAUGUUCACCUCAUUGUGACCUGAGCUGCUGGGCUGCACUGCAACGGAACAUUCACCUUGUCUCCUCAUGUGUGUGACUGCUGUGGGCCAGUUUGAGCAUACUGAAAAGGACCAGGCCAGCCACUGUUUUUGUGCUCUCCCUGUACAAGGCCGGAUCCAUACCGAUGCUUUGCCCCUGGUCGGGGGACUACACUGGAGGGACACUGUAGUGGUGUGGGCCUCCUGAGCAGGGGUUCUGCAUCGGCUGAUCCGACCGAGGAAAAUCCACCAGUGUUUUUGUAGCAGUAUAGACCAGUCCUCA